UGGGGAAUAUUGCACAAUGGGCGAAAGCCUGAUGCAGCGACGCCGCGUGAGGGAUGACGGCCUUCGGGUUGUAAACCUCUUUCAGCAGGGAAGAAGCGAAAGUGACGGUGCCUGCAGAAGAAGCGCCGGCUAACUACGUGCCAGCAGCCGCGGUAAUACGUAGGGCGCAAGCGUUGUCCGGAAUUAUUGGGCGUAAAGAGCUCGUAGGCGGUUAGUCGCGUCUGCUGUGAAAACUCGAGGCUCAACCUCGGGCUUGCAGUGGGUACGGGCUGACUAGAGUGCGGUAGGGGUGACUGGAAUUCCUGGUGUAGCGGUGGAAUGCGCAGAUAUCAGGAGGAACACCGAUGGCGAAGGCAGGUCACUGGGCCGCAACUGACGCUGAGGAGCGAAAGCAUGGGGAGCGAACAGGAUUAGAUACCCUGGUAGUCCAUGCCGUAAACGUUGGGCACUAGGUGUGGGUCCAUUCCACGGAUUCCGUGCCGCAGCAAACGCAUUAAGUGCCCCGCCUGGGGAGUACGGCCGCAAGGCUAAAACUCAAAUGAAUUGACGGGG
rnacentral:rRNA from 1 species